CCUACGGGCGGCAGCAGUAGGGAAUCUUCGGCAAUGGACGAAAGUCUGACCGAGCAACGCCGCGUGAGUUAAGAAGGUUUUCGGAUCGUAAAACUCUGUUGGUGGAGAAGAACGUUGGUGAGAGUGGUAAGCUCACCAAGUGACGGUAACUACCCAGAAAGGGACGGCUAACUACGUGCCAGCAGCCGCGGUAAUAUGUAGGUCCCGAGCGUUGUCCGGAUUUAUUGGGCGUAAAGGGAGCGCAGGGGGUUUAUUAAGUCUGGUGUCAAAAGCAGUGGCACAACCAUUGUAUGCAUUGGAAGCUAGUAAACGUAAGUGCGGAAGAGGAGAGUGGAGUUCCAUGUGUAGCGGUGAAAUGCGUAGAUAUAUGGAGGAACACCGGUGGCGAAAGCGGCUCUCUGGCCUGUAACUGACACUGAGGCUCGAAAGCGUGGGGAGCAAACAGGAUUAGAUACCCGUGUAGUC
rnacentral:rRNA from 1 species